AUUAGGAUGUGGGUGGUCAAGUGAAUAAUACAUGAAGUGAGCUGCAAACAAAGUCAUGCCCACUGAAGAGGAAGAUCGUCUGAAAGCAAGAGAUUUAAGCGCGGUCCGAACUGGAUGGAGCAUGCAGCAGCAGUGCAGCGGUAUUCUGCUGCGCUUGAUAAAGCACAGGCCUCUGGGUUGCAUAAGAGGAUUGUUCGCGAGCGAUUCAGGGGCCUUCGCUGCUCGAGCCUGCCAGCUGGGCUCCGUCUGCGGCUCUCAUCUGCGCGGCUGGCAGGACUGCUUUCAGAGCGAGCCAAUGUCACAUUACUGGGCUGUCCAAGCACACUCACCACAUCGCCAUACUUCAUCUGUGGAAAUCAGAGAUGUGCUGUUUGUGAAACUCAGUGGAUAUAGUGGCAGCUAUAUCCAGUCUCGCAGAAUGUGUGUUUUUAUCAUUCAGUACAGAUCAACAGUGAUUCAAAAUGAUAAAUAUUGACACGUCUAUCUUUCAUACUGAUUAAUCAAUGAAUUGAGACUGAAUGAAAGUCUAGCUUUGUUGAUUAUCAUCAGACUAUUGACAGAUCAUAGUUUUAUAAACUUAACUAGUUUUCAUCACACGUAUCAAAUGCUCGUGUUGUGUGCAUUUUCUGUUAGUAAGACCUACACUGAAAAAAAAAAUAAAAAAACUUUUUUUUUUUAAGGUAAGUGAUUGCAAACAAUUUAUUUUAGCUACAUUAAAAUAAUAAUAAUAAUAAUAAUAAUAAUAAUAAUAAUAAUAAUAAUAAUAAUAAUAAUAAUAAUAAUAAUAAUAAAUAAAUAAAUUGAAAGUUUGUCAAAUAAAUUUGUUUAUUUAAAUAUAGCUAAAGUAAAUUGCUUGCAACAAAUUUCCUUGAAAAAAAAAAUAGUAUAUUCAAUGAAUCAUUUAUUUAUUUAUUUAUUUAUUUAUUUCAGUGUACUUAAUUUGAGGGAAAUUAUUUAAAAUUCCUAACAAUUUAUAGUUAGUUAGUUCAUUAGUUCAUCAGUAGUUAAGUUUGCAUUUCAGUAUUACUUAACUUAAAAAGAAAAAAAUAAUUAAUUAAUGAAUAAAAAUCAAUCAAUCUAUUUAUUUAUUUAUUUAUUUAUUUAUUUUUAU
ensembl:lncRNA